AACGACGUCGGAGAAGGAGGGUGGAGGGUGGAAGAUGUAGAAGGAGAUGGAGAAACAGUCCGUCUAACCCUGGCUUUCUCCUGAGCGGACACUGCAGGGAAAGAACCGACCGAAACCACCAUGGAAUAGGAAUACGACCCGGGAAACGGGGGAAAAUAAAACCUCUCUUAUCUUCUUCUCUCUUUUUUCCCCGUCUCUUUUUUUCUAGCGCCUUUUUCUGUCUUUUCGCAUCUUCCCCAUCUCCCUCGAUGUCUCUCAACAGUUUCUGAAGGGAUUGAAUUAAAGAAAAAUGAGGAUUAUAAUUUUUUCUUGGCACUUUCUCGGGGUGUAUUCCGCCCUUUGGGGGCUGGCGACAGGGGCUUUCCCCAGCUCAGUGCAGAUAGGUGGAUUGUUCAUUAGGAAUACUGAUCAGGAGUAUACAGCUUUUCGACUAGCUAUCUUUCUUCACAACACCAGCCCUAAUGCUACGGAAGCUCCUUUUAACCUGGUUCCACAUGUGGACAACAUAGAGACUGCCAACAGCUUUGCAGUCACCA